UUUUUUUUAAGUUUUCUGUGCUUAGCUUUUUAAACUUCCUUCCUUCUAUUUCUUUAUUACUCUUCACUUCCCUUUUUGCUCUGCAUUUUCCGAGUUGCCAUUGCUGAACCCGUGCUGCCAUUGUUGCUGUAAACCUUCUGAGUUUUGCUUUCUUUCUCCGCCACUUUUGAGGAUCUUUACCCUUCUUCUUUUUGAGUCCUAUGCUUAGUAGCUCUAAGGUUAGGGCCCUUCGUCCCUCUGUCUCUUUUCUUUUUGCCCGUUUAGAGGGCUCUUUAGGUAUUUUUCCCACAUCUCGAGAGGUUCGUUUUAGAGGGUAGUGGUUUGUGUAUAGUAUUGGGUGAUUUGCUACCGCUGCUCCGUCAAUCAAUUGAUUGGUUUGAAGGUUUGAUAAUGGAGCAAGGAGUGGUGUUAGAGGUGAGGUCGAGUGAGUUGGAGACCGGGUUAUCAUCUAGUGAUAGACUCGUGGAGGGGGAUACUGUCGUCUCUGCCCCUCAAGAGGUUAAGGCUUUCCAUGCUCUUGAGGAGGAGUGCGGCUUAGAUGGCAAAACACUCUCUAGGUUUAAGGACAAAUUUCAAUUCCUAGAUAGGGUUAGGGUCCGUCUACCAAGUGAGGAGGAUCGGGCUUGCCACUUCUUUCCUGGGGAGGUAUACUUCUAUGAGGCUACCUUUCUUUGUGGGCUUAGGUUCCCCAUCCAUCCUUUCAUCAUGGAGUUGCUGGACCACUUUGGUAUUGUUCCUGGGCAACUUAUGCCCAAUUUGUGGAGGAUAGUGGUCAAUUAUAUGGGGAUAUGGCUGGCUGCUAUGGACGGAGAUAUGAUCAGGGUGAACGAGCUUGUCUACCUGUACCGUUUGAAAGCGUCUAAGGAGCACAGGUAUUAUGAGUUGUUGCCAUGGGAGAGGAGGAUUAGGAUCGUCUGGAAUCUACCCUCGUCAUUCAGAUACUGAAAGUCCCGGUUCUUUUUUGUGUCCGGAGAUGAUUAGGAGACUCCCUCUAGUGAAGUUUGGGGUGAUCUCCCAAGGUUGCUCCGUUGGUGGAGUAUCUCGAAUUUAGUUAAGAGAUGACCCAAGCUCAAAAGCAGAUACAGGGAGUGUGUUGAGAAGGCCAUCAAGUAUGCAAAGACGAUCAAGGACUUUGACGAUUUG